rnacentral:rRNA from 1 species
AUGCAAGUCGAGCGCGCCCUUCGGGGUGAGCGGCGGACGGGUUAGUAACGCGUGGGAAUAUGCCCAAAGGUACGGAAUAGCCUCUGGAAACGGAGAGUAAUACCGUAUGUGCCCUUCGGGGGAAAGAUUUAUCGCCUUUGGAUUAGCCCGCGUUAGAUUAGGUAGUUGGUGGGGUAAUGGCCUACCAAGCCUACGAUCUAUAGCUGGUUUUAGAGGAUGAUCAGCAACACUGGGACUGAGACACGGCCCAGACUCCUACGGGAGGCAGCAGUGGGGAAUCUUGGACAAUGGGCGCAAGCCUGAUCCAGCCAUGCCGCGUGAGUGAUGAAGGCCUUAGGGUCGUAAAGCUCUUUCGCCAGGGAUGAUAAUGACAGUACCUGGUAAAGAAACCCCGGCUAACUCCGUGCCAGCAGCCGCGGUAAUACGGAGGGGGUUAGCGUUGUUCGGAAUUACUGGGCGUAAAGCGCGCGUAGGCGGAUCGGAAAGUUGGGGGUGAAAUCCCGGGGCUCAACCCCGGAACUGGCUCCAAAACUAUCGGUCUAGAGUUCGAGAGAGGUGAGUGGAAUUCCGAGUGUAGAGGUGAAAUUCGU